AUCCAGCUCUGAACUUCUGAGAUCAACAGAUUUCAUUUAAUCAACAGUCCAGAAUUGUAACUUAACAGUCCAAGCUAUGAGUGAGGAAUGCAUGGCCUUCACAAGACCUGAGAUUGAACUUGGGACUGGACAUCCAGCCUCCUGUUCCUGCCCAUCCUGGUAGGGUACAGCCUGUGAUGGUGGGAGAGAAGAGAGCUCCAAGGAAGGUUUUUUUUUUUUUUUUUUUGCACAUCUCCAGCGUUCUUCUCCAUCUAUAAUUGGCUCUAAAUACAAUGAUCUCAUCCCUGAACACUGAGGAAGAUGGGUGGUGGGGGAACAGCUCUCUAGCAGCAUCUGACAUAAUUUGUGACUAACGUUUGCUUCUGAGAGAGAGGGAGAGGGUCUGCUCCUUCAAAGGCGAUAUCAAAUUUUGCAGAAUAUAUCUUGGCACUAGAUCGAGGAAGCUCUGGCAUUUGGGGUUUUUGAGUGGUCCAGAGCAUUUCUUCACUCUGUCUAAACCAGGUAUCUCCUGACUGUUGCUCAUAUCCAACUGGAUCACCUGCCAUGUGAACCCUUGUCUGGGGAGGAGAUGACUGGUGUGACCAACAGGAUAUUAUGGAAGUGACAGUGUGUGUCUCCCAAGACUGGAUAAUAAAAAGACAUGGCAAUGGAAUAUUCAACCUCAAAACAGGAGGAAGUUCUAACACAAGCUGCAACAUGGAUGAACCCUGAGGAUAUUACACAAGAAAAACAACCACCAGGUUCCAUAUGCUACCAUGAUGCCAACCAGACUUACCUGGACAGGCAACACCACCAAUGUGUCCUGGAGCUCCGAUGCCCCAGAACCCCACCCCACUAAGGAAAGAGAGAGGCAGGCUGGGAGUGUGGAUUGACCUGUCAAUGCCCAUGUUCAGAGGGGAGGGGAAGCAGUUACAGAAGCCAGACCUUCAACCUUCUGCUUUCCACAAUGACCUUG